rnacentral:lncRNA from 10 species
CCAGCUACUUGGGAGGUUGAGGCGGGAGAAUCACUUCAACCCGGGAGGCAGAGGUUGCAGUGAGCCGAGAUCGUGCCAUUGUACUCCAACCUGGGAAACAGAGCGAGAUUCCAUCUCAAAAAAAAAAAAAAAAAAAGGAAUUUUCACUUCAGUGGCUGCCCUUGGGUGGGCACUCCUAUGGGACACAAAUAUCUUCACAGUCUGUGCAGAGACUGAGAGGCCCAUCCAUAUGCCUCUCCAAGCUUCCUUGUCAUUAAUCUUUCAAUCUUCUUCCUUCCACGUACUUGACCAUCCACCCAAACCAUUAGCAACUGCCCAUAAAUUAGUAUAGAUCUAUACUUCUGGCCACUUCUCCCUCCAGGCAUACUGGACAACUAAAUGUGCAGCAUGAAAUUCUCUUUUUUCUUUUUGAAACAGAGUCUCGCUCUGUCGCUUAGGCAGGUUGCGGUGGCACAAUCUCAGCUCGCUGCAACCUCCACCUCCCAGGUUGAAGCAAUUCUCCCGCCUCAGCCUCCGCAGUAGCUGGGACUACAGGUGUGUACCACCACACCCGACCUACAUGAAGUUCUGACCACUGCCCUGUAGGUUCAUCCCUAAGGGAGGUUGUAAUGCUGCCAUUGUCCACUUUCGAGCGGUACCAGCAUGAUGUACAGACUAGCUGUAAGCCAGCCAAGUUUCUUCCUCAUUUCACUGGGCAUAAGGAACAUGCCAGAGGAAAAGUUUGGCUUGAAGUCUAGGAACCAAUGCAACAGAGGUUAGUGUUGAAGGACUCUGACCUUGUUAAUGGUAAAGCAGCUUCAAAAGCCGGCACGGUGGCUCAACGCCUGUAAUCCCAGCACUUUGGGAG